rnacentral:tRNA from 1 species
GCCCUUUUAACUCAGUCGUAGAGUAAUGCCAUGGUAAGGCAUAAGUCAUCGGCUCAAGUCUGAUAAAGGGCU